CGCCUUGCCAGCCCGCUCAGAAACUUAAAGGAAUUGACAGGACCCCGCACAAGCGGUGGAUCAUGUUGUUUAAUUCGAUGAUACGCGAAGAACCUUACCAGGUCUUGACAUCCCCCGCGAUGCUUUAGAGAUAAAGCGGAGGUAUUCGGGGAGACAGGUGGUGCAUGGUUGUCGUCAGCUCGUGUCGUGAGAUGUUGGGUUAAGUCCCGCAACGAGCGCAACCCCUAUUGCUAGUUACCAUCAUUAAGUUGGGGACUCUAGCGAGACUGCCAGUGAUAAACUGGAGGAAGGUGGGGAUGACGUCAAAUCAUCAUGCCCCUUAUGACCUGGGCUACAAACGUGAUACAAUGGCUGGAACAAAGGGAUGCGAAGCAGUGAUGUGGAGCGAAACCCAUAAAAACAGUCUCAGUUCGGAUUGAAGUCUGCAACUCGACUUCAUGAAGUCGGAAUCGCUAGUAAUCGCGGAUCAGAACGCCGCGGUGAAUACGUUCUCGGGGUUU
rnacentral:rRNA from 1 species